CUAAACCACAGUAUGUUAAUUUAUCUUGGUUUGAAGUGUUUGCUGUAAAAGCUGAUCUGUCGCUAUGGAGAAAAAUUUCUGAAGGUUCUGAUGUGACCUGGAGCUGUGAGGUGUCUCGGGUGCCUGAAUCUGCCACACUGCAGUGGGAAAAGGAAGGAGAUCCCACCGCUAACACCACGCUGUUCUACAACAACACAGCCCACAUUAUCAUCCACAGCGCUGGUCAACACAGCCAGGGGCGAUACAGCUGCACGCUUAGAAAGAAUGGGCAGCUUUUAUAUGCCGUUAACAAAACGAUCAACGUUGAGCUGGGUACAUAUCUCACACACCACACUCUAUACAGAGUGAGUUGCAACUGCA